rnacentral:rRNA from 1 species
AGUGAACGCUGGCGGUAGGCCUAACACAUGCAAGUCGAACGGCAGCACAGUAAGAGCUUGCUCUUACGGGUGGCGAGUGGCGGACGGGUGAGGAAUACAUCGGAAUCUACUUUUUCGUGGGGGAUAACGUAGGGAAACUUACGCUAAUACCGCAUACGACCUACGGGUGAAAGCAUGGGAUCUUCGGACCUUGCGCGAUUGAAUGAGCCGCUGUCGGAUUAGCUAGUUGGCGGGGUAAAGGCCCACCAAGGCGACGAUCCGUAGCCGGUCUGAGAGGAUGAUCAGCCACAUUGGAACUGGAACACGGUCAAGACUCCUACGGGAGGCAGCAGUGGGGAAUAUUGGACAAUGGGCGCAAGCCUGAUCCAGCCAUACCGCGUGGGUGAAGAAGGCCUUCGGGUUGUAAAGCCCUUUUGUUGGGAAAGAAAAGCAGCAGGUUGAUACCCCGCUGUUCUGACGGUACCCAAAGAAUAAGCACCGGCUAACUUCGUG